CCUGUCCCUAGAAGCGUCGCAGGUAUGACUGCUGUGUCACAUGUAAGUCAGUGGGUGGCAGAGGGGAAGAGAGGCUAUGUGUAUCCCAGUCUUUUUACUUAUGAACAUCUGAAUGAUUCAUAGUCUAACACU